rnacentral:rRNA from 1 species
UACGGAGGGUGCGAGCGUUGUCCGGAAUCAUUGGGCGUAAAGGGCGCGUAGGUGGCCCGGUCAGUCUUUGGUGAAAGCGCGGGGCUCAACCCUGCGUCGGCCAGGGAUACUGCCGCGGCUCGAGCACUGUAGAGGCAGGCGGAAUUCCGGGUGUAGCGGUGGAAUGCGUAGAGAUCCGGAAGAACACCAGUGGCGAAGGCGGCUCACUGGUCCGGUACUGACGCUGAGGUGCGAAAGCGUGGGGAGCAAACAGG